CUCACGCCAAGUUUAUAUUUGGAAACUGUUCCCUUAAAACACAAUGAUAAGGGGUUAAUUUGGAGAGAAUUUUCCGCCGACGCAAUUAGAAUGAAAGAGAAACAACAUCAUUUACAACACUCGGGCUUUCUGGACAACCCUCUCUGUAAAUGACCAUGCAGACGGGGGUGUAUAUAAAAGACAGGGGGGUCUGAAUGAGGGCCUAAUCUCACGGAUCAAGAAUCUCAGAGCUUCAGCAGCAAAAUGGCGUCCACAUUACCAAUUGCUCUGUUUCUCCUGGGAACAAUGACAUCUCUUCUCCGAGCCUAUGAGCCAUGGCCCCAGGAGUACCAAAGGAAUUAUCACCCACAACGAACACCUACCCUCGCCGAGAGAUUCUUAAAACGCAAUUUAUAUGAACAACCGCGCCACAGAGUUUCAGAUUCCAAAGACGCCAUGUUGGACCCGGCUAAGAGGUCUUCAGUCACAGUUCUAUGUAGCGCAGAACAAUGCCGAGCACUUAUGGCCUUUCUUAACAGGACUAUUCCGGGCGGAUAUGAAGCAGUUCCAAAUUUCUGAAUCAAGCAUAUAAUAAACUUGAUUUGAAUCUAAACACCAAAG